GGGAGGAGAAAGGGAGGAAAGGGAGUAGAGAAGGCCACACACAAUCUUAAAUUCAAUAUUUCACUCCCGUUAAGGAUAAGCUGUUUAUAAGCUCCAGUGUAGGGCAUGUAAUUCUAUGUAAAAACUCUGUGGUUCCUCUUCCCGCAUGUAAAUCAUGAUCUCUCUACAUUCUGCUCUCUGGGAGCCCUCAAGGAAAAGAGACAACAAGGCUCGAGACCACAGAAAGGACUUAUCACAAGUCUUUGUGGUAGCUGAGGAGUGCCCCCUACAGACUGAUAUGCACAAUGCAAGCAGAUGAAGAGGAAAGAACUGAGCAGCAGUAUUUCAGGAUUCUCAAUAAGGCAUCAAUGAAAAAAGGUCAAAACUGUGAUCCCUGCUACUUGGGAGGCUGAGACAUAAGAAUUGCUUGAACCGAGGAGGCGGAGGUUGCAGUGAGCCAAGAUCAUGACACUGAACUCCAGCCUGGACGACAGAGCAAGAGUCUGUCUCAAAAAAAAAGAAAAGAAAAAGAUAUUGCUUAGAAAAGUAACUUGAGUCCUGUUGAGCCUAAGUAAAGGACAAUAAUGGAAGUUUCUAGUCUGCAAAAUAUGAAGAUGCCCCUCAGAGACACAGCUGUGGGUGCCUCUCACAAGACAGAUGUUCAGGAAACCUGGGCUGUUGCUCUGGAAUUUUCAAUGAGUUAUUUUACUUGCCUUUGCCUCAGUUUACAGAAAAUAAACUGGCAACAAUAUCUCCUUGUUAUUGUGAGGAUAAAAUAAAAGGUGUGACAUUUCUCUUUUAAAUGUAUAAAAUGCAGAAAAAUUGGAGGCAACUGGAAGGUACAGUAGUGGAUGUGAGGUAGUAAGCGGGAAAAAAGGAUAUGUCAAUCUCCUAAGAUGAAAUAGGCAUUCGGAAGGCCGUAACGUGAUGUAUGAGUGACACUGAUUAGCUAAAAAUCCUAUAUAGUGUCUUAAAACAGCAGCAGUAACAACAACAAAGUUUAUUUGAGAGGAGGAAUUCUGGAAAAAAGCUUCUUUCAAAAAAAAAAAAAAGAGGUUUCUAGUGCUCAGACAGUUCGUUCCUCUGCAAAGGCGGGUUACUCUGUUGGGGUCCAUUAUAGUUCUGAGGACCAAUAGUACAGGACAAGGAGAUGGUUCCUGGUCCCUGUUCUCCUCCCACAGAUCUGUCCCACCUCCCAGGCUCUAUACAUAGAGUAACAGAGAUGGGAAGCCCAGAACCAGUCCCUUUAAUGCACUUAUUUGCAAAACAAGAUGUCACUAUGCAGCAGAGUGACAGUCCUUUCCCCUGGAACUGUCCCAGAGUUCUCCAAGCUGAAGCCAGGGCUACAUUCACCAUCUCAGACUCCUGCUGAGCUAAGUAACCACCCUCUCCUACCUUCUCUUCAGGAGCCCUGGCACCCUUGCUCUGGGGAGAGUUUGAAGAGCAACCUGAAAGUUCCCACAGUUUUUCCUCAAAUCUGGGUUUCCAUGAGCAUGGGCCACCAGUCGGGAGAGCCACAUGCCUGCCCUUGCCUGGCUCAAGACUGUCACUGUCUGUCAGAUUCAUAUCGCUCUCUGACACUUAGACUUCCAAUCUGGAUCUUGACCUUGAACUGGACUCUGUAGGAAGUUCUUAACAUUGAAGGAAGUUAUUUAUCUCUUUUCAACUAACCCAAGCACUUUCUAGCACCUUUUAGCAGUCUAAUGACUCCAUGGAUAAAAUGUUAGGGAGCAGGACAGUGACACGGCCACAGAAUAUCACACAUGGAAUCCUCAUUCAUUCCCCCAGGGAAACAGCACCUGUAGAGGACAAAUCUGGUAGACACCACUGUGACAGGUGAUUUUAUAUGUCAACUUGACUAGGCCACAGGAUGUCUAGACAUUUGUCAAAUUUUUUUUUAUAUGUCUGUGAGGAUGUUUCUGGAUGAGAUUAACAUUGAAUCAGUAGACUGAGUAAAGAAGACUGCCCUCCCCAGUGGGGGUGGCCCUCAUCCAACCUGUUGAAGCCCUAAAUAGAACAAAAAGGCUGAACCUCCCCCAAAAUAUGGUGAUCUCAAGCUGCCUGACUUCUGGAGCUGGAACAUUGUUCUUUUUCUGCCUUCCAACUCAAACUGAAAAUGAGCUCAUCUUGUAUCCUGAGUCUGCUGGCUUCCAGACUGAACUAUACUUUGACUCUCCCAGGUUUCCAGCUUGCAACUGAUGGUCUUUGGACUUCUCAGCCUCCAUAAUCAUGCAUAAGCCAAUUUCUAUAUAGAUCUAGAAAUUCAUAUAUAUAUGUGUGUGUGUGUGCGUGUGUGUGUGCAUAUAUAUACAGUCAUGAAUCACUGAGCAGUGGGCAUACUUUCUGAGAAAUGUGUCAUUAGGCACUUUUAUCAUUGUGUGAACAUCAUAGUGUACUUACACACGCCUAGACGGUGUAGCCUACAACACACCUAGGCUAUAUGGUAUAACUUGUUGCUGGUAGAUUACAAACCUGUACAACCUGUUACUGUACUGAAUACUGUAGGCAAUUGUAAAACAAUAGUAAGUAUUUGUGUAUCUAAACAUAGCUAACCAUAGAAAAGGUACAGUAAAAAUACUGUAUAAGAGAUAAAACAUGGUGUGCCUGUAUAGGUUGCUUACCAUAAAUAAAGCUUGCAGGUUGGCAGUUACUCUGGGUGAGUCAGUGAGUAAAUGAUGAGUGAAUGUGAGGGCCUUGGACAUCACUGUACCCUACUGUAGACUUUAUAAACCCUGUACACUUAGGUUACCCUAAAUCUAUUUUAAAAUUGUUUUCUUUCUUCAAUAAUAAAUUACCCUUAGCUUACUGU